rnacentral:tRNA from 1 species
GCUCCAUUCGUCUAGGGGUUAGGACGACAGAUUCUCAGUCUGUAAACGACGGUUCGAUUCCGUCAUGGAGUACCA